AUAGAAAAAUCACUCCAAUGUUUAUCUGCUCAUUAUAGUAUGGUACACACACAGUGAUUCCAUUAUCUUCGUUUAUUUUGUCAAAAUACAUACUAUGGUCCAGUCUAAUAUGAUUAUUAUUAAGGAAGUCAACAAUAGUUUGCUUGUAAUCUCAGUACCACAACUAUGAACAAGACGAAGGUACGAGAUAUUCCACCAAUGAGAAAAUUAGAUUGCUUAUGUGCGUGACAAAUAUGUGCCCUAAAUUACAAUAGGAACGCUGCCAUUUUCUUCUUACUUGUCCAUCCAAAUGGUUAAACAUGCCAUUAAGACCUUCCCACGCCAAGGAUUCUCAACUUUAGUUGAACAAGUGGUGUCAGCUGCACUAUAUCAGCUAUCAGCAAUGACCGACCUCUCCUACCACCACCUUUCCCAGCCAUUCCCUCCUUUGCUUCCCAACCCUCACUUCGUCACCUCAGUCAGAUUCAAAGGAGGACCACAACAUGCGGGUAAGAGGAACUGAGGUGGGAAUUCAGAGAGAAGCUGCUUCUUGUGGAGAAGGGUAGAGAAGCGGAGAUUCUAGAAUGCUUUUUAAAAUAACAAGGUGGCGAUAGGGAGACAAGAAAGAAGUGUGUAAAAUUAACGUAAAACGAGCAUUUUGAUGGAGGGCAAUUUUUGGAAGAAAGUGAUAGAAUUGCUAUAAGCAAAAUGAAAGAAGAACAUUACAUCAUGCAGGUGAAACCCAAGAUAUGAACUAUUUGCGACCAUUCUCAUAUCAAAAACUCUCACUUUGCAAGAGAACAACAGAGCUUUUGACCUAUUAAAUGUAAACAAGCAGCCCCAACCUAAAGAAGUACAAGCAGAUAAACGCUAUGCAACAUAAACAAACCAACCGUAUGGAUCCCAAACUCAACAAGAAACAGAUUUCACAAUACAGACUUUUUAUCAACAGAAUUGAAAAGCCUACAAUAUAAUUGCUGGUAUGGAAUUUUAGAAGAUUAGCUUGCAGAAGCUGAAAUGGAUGAACCAGAUGUUGGUGCCCCGGCUAAUCCUGUCAUAUUCUUCAGUUUCUGAGAAGCUACCUCACUGGACGAUCCAGAUUCUGGCACAUCUCCAAUGUCCAAAGUGUCGGGAAGCUUUUCUGAAAACUCUGGAUAGAUCUUUAAGGAAGAAGCACAUUACUUAUAUCAGAUAUUAAAGUUGAGACAUCUAAACUAAUCAAAUGCAGUAUCGAUGUUCAAUACAUGUAAACUCAUGCUUUCUCAACAAUCAAUUGUU
rnacentral:lncRNA from 1 species